UACGAAGGGGAGCUAGCGUUGUUCGGAAUUACUGGGCGUAAAGCGCACGUAGGCGGAUAUUUAAGUCGGGGUGAAUCCGGGCUCAACCCGGAACUGCCUUCGAUACUGGGUAUCUUGAGUUCGGAAGAGGUGAGUGGAAUUGCGAGUGUAGAGGUGAAAUUCGUAGAUAUUCGCAGGAACACCAGUGGCGAAGGCGGCUCACUGGUCCGAUACUGACGCUGAGGUGCGAAAGCGUGGGAGCAACAGGG
rnacentral:rRNA from 1 species